UGGAUCACCUCCUAACAGGGAGACAACAAAAUGUUUAAUAUUAUUAUUUUGUCACCUUAGGUCGAUCGGUAUCUCACGUUCUUACUUAAUUUUAAGAAUUUCAAUUCCUAAGUUUUUCUAGGUCACACCCAUUAUUUUUCCUGGGCCAUUAGCUCAGGUGGUUAGAGCGCACCCCUGAUAAGGGUGAGGUCCCUGGUUCAAGUCCAGGAUGGCCCAUAUCUCUAUGUUGGGGGUAUAGCUCAGUUGGUAGAGCGCCUGCUUUGCAAGCAGGAUGUCAGCGGUUCGAGUCCGCUUACCUCCACUGAUUACCACCUCUUCCAUAAUUUUUAGAAGGAGAUGUUUUGGGUUGUGAUCAAAUUCUGAACGAAUCUAGCUUCCUAAUGAAAUCAUUAAGAUGCUGGACUCAUUGAAUUAAUUUCAUUGUUUUCAGAGAACCUUGACAACUGCAUAGAUUAUUUUUUAAAGACAAUAAGCAUCUUUAAUGAUGCAGAUUUAUUAUUUGUGCGAAUGCAUUAAUAACAAUUCUAUUAAGCUGAUGCUUCAAUUUUUGAAGUUAUUGGUCAAGCUACAAAGGGCUCAUGGAGGAUACCUAGGCACACAGAGGCGAUGAAGG
rnacentral:tRNA from 1 species